AUUGCUUCCUGGCCUUUUGGCUAAGAUCAAAUGUAGUAUUUGUUCUAUCAGACUAUCUUAAUACAUAAAACUGAUAUUUACAGAAUAAUUUGUGAUUUAGAUUUCAUGCAGUGGAAAGAUU
ensembl:snRNA U2 U2 spliceosomal RNA